rnacentral:rRNA from 1 species
CGAGCGAACAGAUAAGGAGCUUGCUCCUUUGACGUUAGCGGCGGACGGGUGAGUAACACGUGGGUAACCUACCUAUAAGACUGGAAUAACUCCGGGAAACCGGGGCUAAUGCCGGAUAACAUUUAGAACCGCAUGGUUCUAAAGUGAAAGAUGGUUUUGCUAUCACUUAUAGAUGGACCCGCGCCGUAUUAGCUAGUUGGUAAGGUAACGGCUUACCAAGGCAACGAUACGUAGCCGACCUGAGAGGGUGAUCGGCCACACUGGAACUGAGACACGGUCCAGACUCCUACGGGAGGCAGCAGUAGGGAAUCUUCCGCAAUGGGCGAAAGCCUGACGGAGCAACGCCGCGUGAGUGAUGAAGGUCUUCGGAUCGUAAAACUCUGUUAUUAGGGAAGAACAAAUGUGUAAGUAACUAUGCACGUCUUGACGGUACCUAAUCAGAAAGCCACGGCUUACUACGUGCCAGCAGCCGCGGUAAUACGUAGGUGGCAAACGUUAUCCGGAAUUAUUGGGCGUAAGCGCGCGUAGGCGGUUUCUUAAGUCUGAUGUGAAAGCCCCGGCCUCGGGGGAGGGUCAUUGGAAACUGGGAAACUUGAGUGCAUUUGAGGAAAGUGGAAUUCCAUGUGUAGCGGUGAAAUGCGCAGAGAUAUGGAGGAACACCAGUGGCGAAGGCGACUUUCUGGUCUGUAACUGACGCUGAUGUGCGAAAGCGUGGGGAUCAAACAGGAUUAGAUACCCUGGUAGUCCACGCCGUAAACGAUGAGUGCUAAGUGUUAGGGGGUUUCCGCCCCUUAGUGCUGCAGCUAACGCAUUAAGCACUCCGCCUGGGGAGUACGACCGCAAGGUUGAAACUCAAAGGAAUUGACGGGGACCCGCACAAGCGGUGGGGCAUGUGGUUUAAUUCGAAGCAACGCGAAGAACCUUACCAAAUCUUGACAUCCUUUGACAACUCUAGAGAUAGAGCCUUCCCCUUCGGGGGACAAAGUGACAGGUGGUGCAUGGUUGUCGUCAGCUCGUGUCGUGAGAUGUUGGGUUAAGUCCCGCAACGAGCGCAACCCUUAAACUUAGUUGCCAGCAUUUAGUUGGGCACUCUAAGUUGACUGCCGGUGACAAACCGGAGGAAGGUGGGGAUGACGUCAAAUCAUCAUGCCCCUUAUGAUUUGGGCUACACACGUGCUACAAUGGACAAUACAAAGGGCAGCUAAACCGCGAGGUCAUGCAAAUCCCAUAAAGUUGUUCUCAGUUCGGAUUGUAGUCUGCAACUCGACUACAUGAAGCUGGAAUCGCUAGUAAUCGUAGAUCAGCAUGCUACGGUGAAUACGUUCCCGGGUCU